AAGGGUCAGACCAUUAAGGGGAGAAGAAGGAAAACAAGGACACCCGUUCUAAUGAAUUAGUGAGAAGAAGUGUCGUUUUCCCAGUGAGGAUAGCUCAUCUCUCAAGGAGAACAAGGAUACAACAACUGCAAUAAUAUUCUGAAAACACUGUGGACCAGAACCAACAGAUGACAUGGCACCCCAAAUCAUCACUGACUGCAGAGGCUUCACUCUGAACUUCAAUCAACAUGGACUCUGUGCCUCUCCACACGUCCGAGACUCUGGGACCUUGAUUUCCAAAUGAAAUGCAACGAAAAGAGGACUUUGGACCACUGAACAACAGUCCAGUUCUUCUCCUUGGCCCAGAUGGUGUCCAAAGCUACCGCACCCUGUUGGCGGUCAGACGCCUUGGAGCUCCACCGGUCCUUGGACCCCGGAAAUAGUCACCACUCUAUCUAAAGACUCCUAAAGGAACGACUCUCAACCAGUUUCUAACUUUUAGCUCUUUUUAAUCUAACUUAAGGCAGAUGAAUGAUUACAGAGAUC